rnacentral:rRNA from 1 species
UUUGAACGCUGGCGGCAGGCCUAACACAUGCAAGUCGAGCGGAUGAAGGGAGCUUGCUCCUGGAUUCAGCGGCGGACGGGUGAGUAAUGCCUAGGAAUCUGCCUGGUAGUGGGGGAUAACGUCCGGAAACGGGCGCUAAUACCGCAUACGUCCUGAGGGAGGAAGUGGGGGAUCUUCGGACCUCACGCUAUCAGAUGAGCCUAGGUCGGAUUAGCUAGUUGGUGGGGUAAAGGCCUACCAAGGCGACGAUCCGUAACUGGUCUGAGAGGAUGAUCAGUCACACUGGAACUGAGACACGGUCCAGACUCCUACGGGAGGCAGCAGUGGGGAAUAUUGGACAAUGGGCGAAAGCCUGAUCCAGCCAUGCCGCGUGUGUGAAGAAGGUCUUCGGAUUGUAAAGCACUUUAAGUUGGGAGGAAGGGCAGUAAGUUAAUACCUUGCUGUUUUGACGUUACCAACAGAAUAAGCACCGGCUAACUUCGUG